rnacentral:rRNA from 1 species
AACGAACGCUGGCGGCGUGCUUAACACAUGCAAGUCGAACGCGAACGGGUUCUUCGGAACCUCAGUAGAGUGGCGCACGGGUGAGUAACGCGUAAGUAAUCUACCCUCGCAUUUGGGAUAACCCACCGAAAGGUGUGCUAAUACCGGAUACGUCUAUGAUAAUAUCUUUUUUAUAGAGAAAGGUGGCCUCUGAUUCAAGCUACUGUGCGGGGAUGAGCUUGCGUACCAUUAGCUGGUUGGUAGGGUAACGGCCUACCAAGGCAACGAUGGUUAGCGGGUCUGAGAGGAUGAUCCGCCACACUGGAACUGAAACACGGACCAGACUCCUACGGGAGGCAGCAGUGAGGAAUAUUGCGCAAUGGGGGCAACCCUGACGCAGCGACGCCGCGUGGAUGAUGAAGGCCUUCGGGUUGUAAAAUCCUGUCAGAU